rnacentral:rRNA from 1 species
AACGAACGCUGGCGGCAUGCCUAACACAUGCAAGUCGAACGAGACCUUCGGGUCUAGUGGCGCACGGGUGCGUAACGCGUGGGAACCUGCCCUUAGGUUCGGAAUAACUCCCCGAAAGGGGUGCUAAUACCGGAUAAUGUCUUCGGACCAAAGAUUUAUCGCCUUUGGAUGGGCCCGCGUUGGAUUAGCUAGUUGGUAGGGUAAAAGCCUACCAAGGCGACGAUCCAUAGCUGGUCUGAGAGGAUGAUCAGCCACACUGGGACUGAGACACGGCCCAGACUCCUACGGGAGGCAGCAGUGGGGAAUAUUGGACAAUGGGCGAAAGCCUGAUCCAGCAAUGCCGCGUGAGUGAUGAAGGCCUUAGGGUUGUAAAGCUCUUUUACCCGGGAUGAUAAUGACAGUACCGGGGGAAUAAGCUCCGGCUAACUCCG